GAUGAACGCUGGCGGCGUGCCUAAUACAUGCAAGUCGAGCGAGAAUUUUUCAAAUGACACUUCGGUUGAUUUUGGAAAAGGACAGCGGCGGACGGGUGAGUAACGCGUAGGCAACCUGCCCCUGACAGAGGGAUAGCCAUUGGAAACGAUGAUUAAAACCUCAUAACGCCGAAGGAACACACGUUUCAUCGGCCAAAGAUUUAUCGGUCAGGGAUGGGCCUGCGUCUGAUUAACUAGUUGGUGAGGUAACGGCUCACCAAGGUGACGAUCAGUAGCCGACCUGAGAGGGUGAACGGCCACAUUGGAACUGAGACACGGUCCAAACUUCUACGGAAGGCAGCAGUAGGGAAUCUUGCACAAUGGGCGAAAGCCUGAUGCAGCAACGCCGCGUGAAGGAUGAAGGCCUUCGGGUUGUAAACUUCUGUUCUUAGGGAAGAAGAAAGUGACGGUACCUAAGGAGAAAGCCCCGGCUAACUACGUGCCAGCAGCCGCCGUAA
rnacentral:rRNA from 1 species